CUGCAACUCGACUCCAUGAAGCUGGAUUCGCUAGUAAUCGCGCAUCAGCCAUGGCGCGGUGAAUACGUUCCCGGGCCUUGUACACACCGCCCGUCAAGCCAUGGAAGCCGGGGGUGCCUGAAGUGCGUGACCGCAAGGAGCGCCCUAAGGUAAAACCGGUGACUGGGGCUAAGUCGUAACAAGGUACC
rnacentral:rRNA from 1 species